UGAGGAAUAUUGCGCAAUGGAGGAAACUCUGACGCAGCCAUGCCGCGUGAAUGAAGAAGGCCCUAGGGUUGUAAAAUUCUUUCAGAUGCGAAGAUAAUGACGGUACCAUCAGAAGAAGCUCCGGCUAAAUUCGUGCCAGCAGCCGCGGUAAUACGGAUGGAGCGAGCGUUGUUCGGAAUCAUUGGGCGUAAAGCGUAUGUAGGCGGACAGAUAAGUCAGAAGUGAAAUCCCGAGGCUCAACCUCGGAAUUGCUUUUGAAACUGACUGUCUCGAGUCCCGGAGGGUAAGGGGAAUUCCGAGUGUAGAGGUGAAAUUCGCAGAUAUUCGGAGGAACGCCAGUGGCGUAGGCG
rnacentral:rRNA from 1 species